UUGUCCCCAUACUGACAUCUCAGACAUUGACACUGUGAUAAUCAUUAUGAGAAGUGCCAGUGGAAAAUUUUUGUAUGUAAAAACUGCAGUUACCUCUGCCUUAGACAGCCAAGAAUAACUGGAGUGUUCUGUUAAUAUUUUGGUUACUCCACAUGCUUUCAUGCAAACCUUGCUGGGAGCGUGGCAGAAGUGUAACAAAAGCAGAAGAGCUGGUGGGAUCAUUCAAAGCCACCUGCUGCUCCUUAUGGGCUCGUUUGAUCAGAGGGGCUCACACCUGACAUUCACAUCUAUCUCAGCAGGUGCCACGGUCACAUAUGAAGCUCAGACAUGAGUCACCGCUUUGGGCAAAUGGGUGGAAGUGAGCAGGACAGUGGGAGCUGAGAAGCUGGUGGUAUCUGAUGGGUAGAUGGCCAGGAGUUGCCAACCACUUUAUCUGGAGACUUUUGUGCAUGUGUUUCAGUAUGCAGCAGAGGUUUUGGGUGCUGACCAGCAGUGUAACAUGGGAUAAAGAAGAAAAUUUUGGCAGCAUAUAGGAAAGAUCAGGCCAUGAGGAGGUGGAAAGAGUUGUCAGAGGAAGAUCUUUUGUGUGCAAGCUACUACAAUAGGAAGCUACUAUCCUUUCCCCUGGGUGUCUGGGAGUGCAGGGGCUGUGAGACCUGUAGUUCAAGCUUACAGGUUUAAAUCACUGAAAUUGGUGCAUCUUCAUAGGGCAAGUCUAGCCCAGCAACUUCCAGGAUGGUUUAACUGUGCUCACAACACUCCUGCAGAACAGGAGGAGAAUUUCCGACAGCUCCACGAAGACAGCGGGUUCCCCGGGAGUGGUGUCUGCUCGUUCGGUCUUCCCUCCUUGCAUACCGAGGUGCCAACUUCCCGCAGCAGAGCCCAGCAGCUUCCCCGGGGCUCGGAGAGCCAGAUCAUCCGGAAUGCGCAAGCUGCACCAAGUUGAAGGUUUGUUUUUGUUUUCAUUCAGACUUGUCCCAGUCAGCACCAGGAACUGCCGCCGGCUACACCUCACAAAUAAAAACAUGCUAGGAGAGACUUGUGGUUUUGCUGGUGAUGACAGAGCUUAAACAAGAACAAUAUAAAUAGACUGUAACUUAAAACUGCCACCGUCUUUUCACUUCAAACCACAAAAAUGAAUGUAUAGGUUGGAGUUCAUAACCAGCCUGUCCUUCCCCUCCAAAAAAAAGAACAAAAACUGAAAUCAAAUGGCCAGUUGGAUUACUCAGCUGUUUGGCUAGAAGGUGCAAUUGGAACGUCCUGUGGGCAUGUGAAACCCAGACGACCACAGGCCCUGACAGCAAGACACAAUUCUCCUGCUUUCCGAAGCCGAGCUGCAGUUCCUGGAUCAUACACUGUCACAUGUAUAGAAUCCUGCGUGGAAGCAUCAGGUGGAGAAUACGAACUCUUUCUGCAGGAGAUACCCGCACUCCUUCAUGUUACAGUGAUAGCAAGGAAACAACUCUCACUGUCUAUAUAUCAGAAACAGCUUUUGAACAUUUCUGCUUUUCAUCUGUGUUUAAUAAAAAAUCAUGUCCAUUUGAGAUUC